AAAUACUUGUCAUCAAAAUGGAUAAAAGGAAAUGUAUCUAGACGUAUUUUAGUUUUAGAUACAUCUCUUUUUAUCCAUUUUGAUGACAAGUAUUUUCGGACGGAGGGAGUAGAAA
rnacentral:pre_miRNA from 1 species